rnacentral:misc_RNA from 1 species
GGGAGAAAGGGCUCGGAGGGUAAAAACGUAGUGGAACGAUGCAGGAAUAUGAAGGUAAUGGAGAAGAUAUAGAGAAUAAUGGUUCUUCUCCUUACAGUGACUCCAAGUCUCAGCAUACUUCUCGUGACCCCGAGAAAGAAAGGGGCUCAUCAAGAAGCAGGGAGAAGGAGAGGGAGAAAGGGCGUGAUAAAGACCGGGACAGGGACAGGAAUAGAGAUAGAGAUAGAGACAGGGACAGAGGUAAGGAAAGGGACAAAGAUAGGGAUAGGGACAGAGAGAGGGAGAAGGACCGUGAUCGUCAUCACAGAGAUCGUCAUAGGGAUCGGAGUGAUAGGAGGGAGAGGAUCAGAGAUCGAGAUGAAGAUGAUCUUCAGCGAACUCGAGAUUACGAUAGGCGAAGAGACAAUGACAAAGAUAGAGAGGACCGACAGAGACACAAGCCUAGCUCUAGGGGUAGAUCCGAGCAUAGAUCAAGGUCUAGAUCACGGUCACCAUCUAAGAGCAAAAGGAUCAGUGGU